UACGGAGGAUGCAAGCGUUAUCCGGAAUGAUUGGGCGUAAAGCGUCCGCAGGUGGCGGUGUAAGUCUGCUGUUAAAGAGUGAGGCUCAACCUCAUAAAGCAGUGGAAACUACACAGCUAGAGUGCGGUAGGGGCAGAGGGAAUUCCUGGUGUAGCGGUGAAAUGCGUAGAGAUCAGGAAGAACACCGGUGGCGAAAGCGCUCUGCUAGGCCGCAACUGACACUGAGGGACGAA
rnacentral:rRNA from 1 species